AUCAAUUGAUAACUGAUAUCUUGGAUAAAAAUGAACAAAUGAAAUAAAACGCAUGCAUUUUACAUGUUGGAUAUGUGAGGGGUUUUAACUGAUGCGCUCAUUUUCGGUAUUGAGACUGGUGAAUGUUAAAUGAAGGUGUUAGCCGUUAAAACCGCUGGAUUUGGAAAACGUCUUUUAUUUAAACUGACACGAAAGUGUUAAACACUAAUUGUAAAUGUGACCAUCUCUGAGAAAUGUGUUGUACUUGUGCUGACUGUGGAAAUCACAAGGCCGAACUGUGGGAUUCUCUUUAAGGUUUUUAUUGUGUAUGUCUUUACAGAGAAAGGGGAGCGAACUGUGGAAGAUUUUUGGUUGAUCGUCUUGCCUUUUGAAUCUUUAUUUUUGGCCUUUUGGGUUAGUUUACAGAUGUAUGCAUACUAUAAGCGGGAAAGAGAAGAAAUAAGACAUGAAUUGAUGCGCAUUGCCCAGAGCUGCCGAAGACUAUGCCAAUCUCCAGCAUCAUCUCGGCAUGAUCAG